rnacentral:rRNA from 1 species
GAUGAACGCUGGCGGCGUGCCUAAUACAUGCAAGUCGAGCGAACGAACGAGAAGCUUGCUUCUCUGAUGUUAGCGGCGGACGGGUGAGUAACACGUGGAUAACCUACCUAUAAGACUGGGAUAACUUCGGGAAACCGGAGCUAAUACCGGAUAAUAUUUUGAACCGCAUGGUUCAAAAGUGAAAGACGGUCUUGCUGUCACUUAUAGAUGGAUCCGCGCUGCAUUAGCUAGUUGGUAAGGUAACGGCUUACCAAGGCAACGAUGCAUAGCCGACCUGAGAGGGUGAUCGGCCACACUGGAACUGAGACACGGUCCAGACUCCUACGGGAGGCAGCAGUAGGGAAUCUUCCGCAAUGGGCGAAAGCCUGACGGAGCAACGCCGCGUGAGUGAUGAAGGUCUUCGGAUCGUAAAACUCUGUUAUUAGGGAAGAACAUAUGUGUAAGUAACUGUGCACAUCUUGACGGUACCUAAUCAGAAAGCCACGGCUAACUACGUGCCAGCAGCCGCGGUAAUACGUAGGUGGCAAGCGUUAUCCGGAAUUAUUGGGCGUAAAGCGCGCGUAGGCGGUUUUUUAAGUCUGAUGUGAAAGCCCACGGCUCAACCGUGGAGGGUCAUUGGAAACUGGAAAACUUGAGUGCAGAAGAGGAAAGUGGAAUUCCAUGUGUAGCGGUGAAAUGCGCAGAGAUAUGGAGGAACACCAGUGGCGAAGGCGACUUUCUGGUCUGUAACUGACGCUGAUGUGCGAAAGCGUGGGGAUCAAACAGGAUUAGAUACCCUGGUAGUCCACGCCGUAAACGAUGAGUGCUAAGUGUUAGGGGGUUUCCGCCCCUUAGUGCUGCAGCUAACGCAUUAAGCACUCCGCCUGGGGAGUACGACCGCAAGGUUGAAACUCAAAGGAAUUGACGGGGACCCGCACAAGCGGUGGAGCAUGUGGUUUAAUUCGAAGCAACGCGAAGAACCUUACCAAAUCUUGACAUCCUUUGACAACUCUAGAGAUAGAGCUUUCCCCUUCGGGGGACAAAGUGACAGGUGGUGCAUGGUUGUCGUCAGCUCGUGUCGUGAGAUGUUGGGUUAAGUCCCGCAACGAGCGCAACCCUUAAGCUUAGUUGCCAUCAUUAAGUUGGGCACUCUAAGUUGACUGCCGGUGACAAACCGGAGGAAGGUGGGGAUGACGUCAAGUCAUCAUGCCCCUUAUGAUUUGGGCUACACACGUGCUACAAUGGACAAUACAAAGGGCAGCGAAACCGUGAGGUCAAGCAAAUCCCAUAAAGUUGUUCUCAGUUCGGAUUGUAGUCUGCAACUCGACUACAUGAAGCUGGAAUCGCUAGUAAUCGUAGAUCAGCAUGCUACGGUGAAUACGUUCCCGGGUCU